rnacentral:rRNA from 1 species
UACGUAGGUGGCAAGCGUUGUCCGGAAUUAUUGGGCGUAAAGCGCGCGCAGGCGGUCUUUUAAGUCUGAUGUGAAAGCCCCCGGCUCAACCGGGGAGGGUCAUUGGAGACUGGAGGACUUGAGUGCAGAAGAGGAGACCGGAAUUCCACGUGUAGCGGUGAAAUGCGUAGAGAUGUGGAGGAACACCAGUGGCGAAGGCGGCUCUCUGGUCUGAAACUGACGCUGAGGCGCGAAAGCGUGGGGAG